rnacentral:rRNA from 1 species
GACGAACGCUGGCGGCGUGCUUAACACAUGCAAGUCGAACAGAAAGGCCCUGCUUUUGUGGGGUGCUCGAGUGGCGAACGGGUGAGUAACACGUGAGUAACCUGCCCUUGACUUUGGGAUAACUUCAGGAAACUGGGGCUAAUACCGGAUAGGAGCUCCUGCUGCAUGGUGGGGGUUGGAAAGUUUCGGCGGUUGGGGAUGGACUCGCGGCUUAUCAGCUUGUUGGUGGGGUAGUGGCUUACCAAGGCUUUGACGGGUAGCCGGCCUGAGAGGGUGACCGGCCACAUUGGGACUGAGAUACGGCCUAGACUCCUACGGGAGGCAGCAGUGGGGAAUAUUGCACAAUGGGCGGAAGCCUGAUGCAGCAACGCCGCGUGCGGGAUGACGGCCUUCGGGUUGUAAACCGCUUUCGCCUGUGACGAAGCGUGAGUGACGGUAAUGGGUAAAGAAGCACCGGCUAACUACGUG